GGGGUUGUAGCUUAGCAGUAGAGUGCUCAUCUAGCAUGUGUGAGGCCCUGGGUUCAAUCCUCAGCACCUCUU
rfam:Ictidomys tridecemlineatus contig009935, whole genome shotgun sequence.